UUAAAUUGAAGAGUUUGAUCAUGGCUCAGAUUGAACGCUGGCGGCAGGCCUAACACAUGCAAGUCGAACGGUGACAGGAAG
rnacentral:rRNA from 1 species